AUGAGGGUCCCUUUUCAGCUCCUGGAGAUGCUGAUGCUCUGGGUCUCAGGAUCCAGUGGGGAAAUCAUGAUGACAGACCCCACGUCCCUGCCCAUCACCCCUGGAGAGCCAGCAUCCAUCUCCUGCAGGGCCAGUCAGAGCCUCGUACACAGUAAUGGAAACACCUAUUUGCAUUGGUACCUGCAGAAGCCAGGCCAGUCCCCACAGGGCCUGACCUACAGGGUUUCCAACCAUUUCACUGGGGUCCCAGAUAGGUUUAGUGGCAGUGGGUCAGGGACAGAUUUCACCCUGACCAUCAGCAGGGUGGAGGCUGACGGUGUUGGGGUUUAUUGCUGCGGGCAAAGUACACACGAUCCUUCCACAGUGGUUCAGGCCCAAACACAAACCUCUGUGUUUGGUGGUCCCCACUGGGCACAUAUUUAG